GACAGAGGCCCCAAGCGUUAGGCGGAAUCACUGGGCUUAAAGCGUGUGUAGGCGGACGCCUAAGUGUCUUGUGAAAUCCCACGGCUCACCCGUGGAACUGCUGGGCAUACUGGGCGUCUUGGGCCAACUAGGGGCAGCCGGAACAAGCGGUGGAGCGGUGAAAUGCGUAGAUAUCGCUUGGAGCGCCGAAGGUGAAAACAGGCUGCUGGGGUUGCGCCGACGCUGAGACACGAAAGCCAGGGGAGCAAACGGG
rnacentral:rRNA from 1 species